rnacentral:misc_RNA from 1 species
UCUCCGUUGGUGAACCAGCGGAGGGAUCAUUACAAGUGACCCCGGUCUUACCACCGGGAUGUUCAUAACCCUUUGUUGUCCGACUCUGUUGCCUCGGGGGCGACCCGGCCCUGCUGGGCGACGGGGCCCCCGGUGGUCCAUCUCAACCCUGCAUCUGUGCGUCUGAGUAAAUAUUUGAAUCAAUCAAAACUUUCAACAACGGAUCUCUUGGUUCUGGCAUCGAUGAAGAACGCAGC